AUUGAACGCUGGCGGCAGGCCUAACACAUGCAAGUCGAACGAGUGGCGGACGGGUGAGUAAUGUCUGGGAAACUGCCCGAUGGAGGGGGAUAACUACUGGAAACGGUAGCUAAUACCGCAUACCAUCGGAUGUGCCCAGAUGGGAUUAGCUAGUAGGUGGGGUAAUGGCUCACCUAGGCGACGAUCCCUAGCUGGUCUGAGAGGAUGACCAGCCACACUUGAACGGAGACACGGUCCAGACUCCUACGGGAGGCAGCAGUGGGUAAUAUGGCACAAUGGGCUGAAGCCUGAUGCAGCCAUGCCGCGAGUAUGAAGAAGGCCUUCGGGUUGUAAAGUACUUGCAGCGGGGAGGCGUUACCCGCAGAAUAAGCACCGGCUAACUCCGUGCCAGCAGCCGCGGUAAUAC
rnacentral:rRNA from 1 species